UAACUGUUAGGUGAGGGACCCAAUGAUGACUUUGCACCUACUUGUGAACGAUGGAUCUGACUUAACUAAAGAGUAUGGGCAAUAACUGUUAGGUGAGCUCACAUGACUUAGAGAUCAAGUCACUGCAACAUGCUUAAAAAAGCAUCUGGAUAAUGAGUUAUCCAUGCAUCGGUGUGCAUGUUACCAAUAAUUGUUAGGUGAGGUGCAUGACAUCAGUGGGACCAUAGCACCCACUAGAAAUUCAGUUGUCGUAUUAGGAUUUUCGUUUCUCC
rnacentral:lncRNA from 1 species